rnacentral:rRNA from 1 species
GAUGAACGCUGGCGGCGUGCCUAAUACAUGCAAGUCGAGCGAACAGAUGAGGAGCUUGCUCCUCUGACGUUAGCGGCGGACGGGUGAGUAACACGUGGAUAACCUACCUAUAAGACUGGGAUAACUUCGGGAAACCGGAGCUAAUACCGGAUAAUAUAUUGAACCGCAUGGUUCAAUAGUCAAAGACGGUUUUGCUGUCACUUAUAGAUGGAUCCGCGCCGCAUUAGCUAGUUGGUAAGGUAACGGCUUACCAAGGCAACGAUGCGUAGCCGACCUGAGAGGGUGAUCGGCCACACUGGAACUGAGACACGGUCCAGACUCCUACGGGAGGCAGCAGUAGGGAAUCUUCCGCAAUGGGCGAAAGCCUGACGGAGCAACGCCGCGUGAGUGAUGAAGGUCUUCGGAUCGUAAAACUCUGUUAUUAGGGAAGAACAAAUGUGUAAGUAACUAUGCACGUCUUGACGGUACCUAAUCAGAAAGCCACGGCUAACUACGUG